GUGGAGACGUCGCUGCCGUGAU
rnacentral:snRNA from 1 species